rnacentral:rRNA from 1 species
AGAUUAAGUUAUUAAGGGCGCACGGUGGAUGCCUUGGCACUAGAAGCCGAUGAAGGACGUUACUAACGACGAUAUGCUUUGGGGAGCUGUAAGUAAGCUUUGAUCCAGAGAUUUCCGAAUGGGGAAACCCAGCAUGAGUUAUGUCAUGUUAUCGAUAUGUGAAUACAUAGCAUAUCAGAAGGCACACCCGGAGAACUGAAACAUCUUAGUACCCGGAGGAAGAGAAAGAAAAUUCGAUUCCCUUAGUAGCGGCGAGCGAAACGGGAAGAGCCCAAACCAACAAGCUUGCUUGUUGGGGUUGUAGGACACUCUAUACGGAGUUACAAAGGACGACAUUAGACGAAUCAUCUGGAAAGAUGAAUCAAAGAAGGUAAUAAUCCUGUAGUCGAAAAUGUUGUCUCUCUUGAGUGGAUCCUGAGUACGACGGAGCACGUGAAAUUCCGUCGGAAUCUGGGAGGACCAUCUCCUAAGGCUAAAUACUCUCUAGUGACCGAUAGUGAACCAGUACCGUGAGGGAAAGGUGAAAAGCACCCCGGAAGGGGAGUGAAAUAGAACCUGAAACCGUGUGCUUACAAGUAGUCAGAGCCCGUUAAUGGGUGAUGGCGUGCCUUUUGUAGAAUGAACCGGCGAGUUACGAUUUGAUGCAAGGUUAAGCAGUAAAUGUGGAGCCGUAGCGAAAGCGAGUCUGAAUAGGGCGUUUAGUAUUUGGUCGUAGACCCGAAACCAGGUGAUCUACCCUUGGUCAGGUUGAAGUUCAGGUAACACUGAAUGGAGGACCGAACCGACUUACGUUGAAAAGUGAGCGGAUGAACUGAGGGUAGCGGAGAAAUUCCAAUCGAACCUGGAGAUAGCUGGUUCUCUCCGAAAUAGCUUUAGGGCUAGCCUCAAGUGAUGAUUAUUGGAGGUAGAGCACUGUUUGGACGAGGGGCCCCUCUCGGGUUACCGAAUUCAGACAAACUCCGAAUGCCAAUUAAUUUAACUUGGGAGUCAGAACAUGGGUGAUAAGGUCCGUGUUCGAAAGGGAAACAGCCCAGACCACCAGCUAAGGUCCCAAAAUAUAUGUUAAGUGGAAAAGGAUGUGGCGUUGCCCAGACAACUAGGAUGUUGGCUUAGAAGCAGCCAUCAUUUAAAGAGUGCGUAAUAGCUCACUAGUCGAGUGACACUGCGCCGAAAAUGUACCGGGGCUAAACAUAUUACCGAAGCUGUGGAUUGUCCUUUGGACAAUGGUAGGAGAGCGUUCUAAGGGCGUUGAAGCAUGAUCGUAAGGACAUGUGGAGCGCUUAGAAGUGAGAAUGCCGGUGUGAGUAGCGAAAGACGGGUGAGAAUCCCGUCCACCGAUUGACUAAGGUUUCCAGAGGAAGGCUCGUCCGCUCUGGGUUAGUCGGGUCCUAAGCUGAGGCCGACAGGCGUAGGCGAUGGAUAACAGGUUGAUAUUCCUGUACCACCUAUAAUCGUUUUAAUCGAUGGGGGGACGCAGUAGGAUAGGCGAAGCGUGCGAUUGGAUUGCACGUCUAAGCAGUAAGGCUGAGUAUUAGGCAAAUCCGGUACUCGUUAAGGCUGAGCUGUGAUGGGGAGAAGACAUUGUGUCUUC